rnacentral:lncRNA from 1 species
UAAUAAUUACGAUUUUUUAUUUUUUUAUUUACUUAAAAUAUUGAUGCAUAUUUGUUGAUAUUAAGAUCAAACAAAAUAGAGAUGAUGGUGAUGUAGGGUGGUUCACCUUACUUAGAGUGAGGCAGAGAGUCAUUGUACAUGGUGGUUCGGUUGUGGAGUUGGCUAGAGAAGGAGGAAAAGAGGAGAGAGAGUGAGUUAGAGAGAGAGAGAGAGAGAGAG